UAAAUGGGAAAAGCCUAGAGCACCAUAUUGCUUGAAGAGGAACCAAAUAAGAGAGGUCCUAUUGUGGUUUCUUCAGCUCAAAUUUCCAGAUGGAUAUGUGGCCAACAUGAAGCGAGGUGUUAACUUAGAGCAACUUAAGAUAUAUGGGCUCAAAAGUCAUGACUACCAUAUAUUUAUGGAGCGGUUACUGCCUGUCAUGCUGCGGGGGUAUGUAGAUAAUGAUGUGUGGGAGGCUUUGGCUGAGCUAAGUUAUUUCUUUAGGCUGCUUUGCGCAAAAGAAAUAGAUCCUAACCAAAUGGAUAAAUUGGAGGAAAACAUUCCUGUCCUAAUUUGUAAAUUGGAGAAAAUUUUCCCACCGGGGUUCUUUGAUUCAAUGGAGCAUAUAAUGAUACACCUCCCUUAUCAAGCAAAAGUAGGAGGGCCUGUUAAGUAUCGUUGGAUGUAUACUUAUGAAAGGUAUGUUUUGUUCUUCAUGCAUUAUGUCCAUAUGGUAGUAGUAUUUCCUAUUUGGACAUUACUUUGUUACAUGGCAAUGUAGGUUAAUAAAAAAGCUUAGAGCAAAAGUUAGUAACAAAGCAUGUGUGGAGGCUUCAAUUGUUGAGGCAUUUCUUGUUGAGGAGAUUUCAAACUUUAGUUCUUUGUACCUUCCUGAUGAUGUGCCUACCUCAAGAAAUCGCCCCCAACGUUAUGCACAAUCUAGCACUACCAGCACAAGUACUCUUAGUUUUUUUGGAGACAAGGGAUGGAAAAUUGGUAGAGGGGAACCUAGGAUCUUAUCACAUGAAGAGUACAAGACAGCCACGAUUUUUAUCUUACUAAACAUGCCUGAAAUGGAUGAUAUUGUGAAGUAAGUUCUCUAAAUUAGCAUUUCUAGCACAAUCAUGUACAAAUAAAAAAUUGGUGCUGAUGGUUUACACAAAAAAUGUAGACAAUUUGAACUUGACCAAUGGAGGCGUCCUCGACAACCAAGUACAAAAGAACUUGAUAAACUUAGGCAAGAUGGUGCUGGUUCAGGAAAACCAAACUUGUUGGAUUGGUUCAAAACUUUGGUAAAGCACCUAUACAUACUAGCAAAUAAAGUGCCCUACAGUUUUCUAUGCCUAAUAACUCUAUAUACAUAUAUUGUCUUCUUGCAGUGCAUAAAGGAUGCAUCUAUUAAUAAAGAAUUACGCGAUCUUUCGCGAGGUUGUAGCAUGAGAGUAAAAUCAUAUGACAUGUAUGAAGUUAAUGGGUUCAUAUUUCAAUCAGAGAAAUAUGAAAACCACAGAGAAGGGGACCUUUCAUCUAGAAAUACCGGCGUUCUUGCUCUUGGAAUAGAUGAUGCAACCAAUGAGGAGCUUGAAUACUACGGUGUUAUUAAGGACAUUAUAGAACUUAAAUUUAAUGGUGAUGAGGACUUCAGUCUUGUGAUGUUUGAUUGUCACUGGUUUCAUCCAACUAAAGGAGUGAGACAUUUGAACAGAUUUGGCUUAGUUGAAGUAGCACCUGCUUCAACCAAUCCAGCCAAUGAGCGUUUUGCUAUUGCCAGCCAAGUGAGCUUAGUCUAUUAUGUUCCAUAUGCUUGUACUUUGGUUGCAAGUCUUCUUGAUUUUCAAGUUGCUUACAGAGUACCACCUUUAGGCAGUCUAGAAACUCCUACAGAUGAUGACUACACAACAAUAACACCCACUAAUGCAGAUGUGUUCCAAGAGAAUAGUUUAGAUGCCAAUGAUUUCAUUGUACAAGUAGGAUCACAACUUGACAACUUAACAGUACGUGGUUCAGAUGAGGUGGUUGAUCCAACCGAAUUGUCAAAUAUUAGCAACCGACAUGAUUUGGGUGGUGAAAGGAUUCAAGAACAAGUUAUCGAGGAUGAAGACUAUGAUGAAGAGAUCAUUGAGGAAAUUGAAGAAGAAGAUGAUGAUUUCUAGCCCAUUUUCUAUUUAUUAUCGUUGUUUGUAAUUUGGGUGGUUGAAGACUUGGCAAGAAACACUUAUCUAUUUGCUAUCGUUAUGUUUAUCAUGAUUGUCUUGUUGGUUGUAAACUGUUCUUUGCUAUCUUUAUCUUAUUUGUUUCAAGAAUCACACAUUACAGGAUGACAAUUGGAAGAAAAGCAUCUCGACUUGCUGUAGCGAUCAAACCAGCGCCUGCUGCUCGAAACACUACUGCUGCUGAUGGCACUUAUGAUGGGUACAUAAGAGGAGUUUCAGAUCUUCCUCCUGCUAUUCCAAAUAAUGAAGAUCGUCCAAUCAUUCGACCUAUUAGCAAGACAUAAGUCUUAUUAUUUAGUAUAAGUACUUUCUUGUUCUGCAAUAUGUUUUCCUUUUCUAAUACUUGUUUGUUGUAUUUACAACUUCCUUUUGUGUAGGCAUUGGAAGGACAUUCCUGUUGUUCGAAAGGGCAGAAGACCAUCAAGUGUAUUGACAUGCCUUCUAAAAAGUAACCAUCCCGGUAUUCUGGAUUAUGAUGGUGCGAAGGUGGUUGCAACAGAGUGGGAGCAUUAUCAUGCGGUGAAGGACACGAAUGGUCAUUCUAUUGCAGACAAAAUUGAAGAUGCUUUUUGGCUAAGGUACAAGUAUGAAGAUGCAUACUCAGAGAAGGCAAAGCAACAUGUUCGAAGAUGUUGCAAGGCACUUUUGCCAAGUAUAUUUUACUAUGCAAGAAUCCAAGCCAUAAUUGAUCAUUUUCGAAAAACUGAGAACACUAACAUGAAUGGCAAGCUUGCUGGGCAAUACUAUUUGGAUAGAGCUCAGUAUUUGGUGCAAAGGCAAGGUUGGUUAGGAAAAGAAGCUUGGGUUGUUGUAGUUGAUGAGUGGUGCAGUGAAGAGUGGAUUGCAAAAUCAAAGAGAUACCGUGCCAAUCAUUGCAGCUCAAAGUUCAAGCCUCACAAGGGUGGUUCCAACUCGAUGACUACUAUAAGUCAAAAAAUGUCCGAACAAACCGACGAAGAUGUUAACCAGAUUCAGGCUUGGGUGCAUACACAUAGAGGAUUGGACAAGAGAAAACCUUUAAUUCUCAACACAACAUAAGCAACUAAAUGUUUGGCACUUUAUACAGAAAAGGCUAAAGAGUUAGAUGGAGAGGACUAUGAUAUCCUGAAAAAUGAUGUUAGUUCUAAGGCACUUUAUGAUUGCUCUAAUGGGAAGCCACAUGGUACAUGGUCUCUCUUUAAUGGCAUUGUCAAUGACAUCGAGGUCAUUUUUGAGGUGAGAGCUACUGGUACAUCUUCAGGAGCCUUGAAGCGUCGUCGAGCUGAAGAAAUUGAAGAUGUGCGUCAAAAGGAGUCCGAGAAGACUCGAAAAGCAGAGGCUUAUGCCAACAAUGUCUUGUCAUGGGGUGUUGGGAUGUACAAGCACUGCAAUGAGAUAUAAAAGUUUCUUCAGACUUUGGCAACUAAGCAAGGAGUGCCUAUUGGAGAAAUACCACUGCCGCCGGUUCCACCUCCUUUUCGUUCGCUUUCUCCUCCUGGAUCUCCGCAACGAUCUACCAUCCAAAUUCUAGAAAAUAGCGAAGAAUCGCCAGCUUUGUGUGCUCAACAAGAAACAAAUCCUUGCUCUAUUAAUG